rfam:Gossypium arboreum cultivar AKA8401 contig_64594_1, whole genome shotgun sequence.
AAUCCAUAAUGUGGGCAUCUUUGUAUUAGCUUUUUAAAAUGCUCCCAAGCUCCGUGAAAGCUCUCUUCUUCUAAUUAUUUGAACGUUGCGAUCUCUCUUCUCAAUU